rnacentral:lncRNA from 1 species
GACCAGUUUCUUGGGCAGCUCUCUGAAAAGCUGGAAUGUUGGAGGCAUGCUCUAUUCUUUUCUCCCAGAGGAAAAAGAUGUGAAGAGGCAUUCUGUCUUGGCACUGAGCUGUGCUAACUUGGGGGAGAGGCUGACGCAGAUUGACCUUGCUAGGUUAUAGAGGCAUGUUCUAUCAUCUUUAUUAAGAAGGUGUUUCACUCUUGUUGCCCAGGCUGAAGUGCAAUGGCACGAUCUCGGCUCACUGCAACCUCCGUCUCCCGGGUUCAAGUGAUUCUUCUGCCUCAGCCUCCCGAGUAGCUGGAAUUACAGGCAUAUGCCACCACACCCAGCUAAUUUUCCAUUUUUAGUAGGGACGGGGUUUUACCAUGUUGGUCAGGCUGGUCUUGAACUCCUGACCUCAGGUGAUCCGCCUGCCUUGGUCUCCUAAAGUGCUGGGAUAGCAAGCAUGAACCGCUGCGUCUGGCCCAUUUUUCUUAUUCUUAAACAUCCUACUAAACAUUUUGGAGCUAGUUGUAUUGCGAGGUUUAUUUUCUAUGUGGAGGGAGCAGUUUAAAAAAGCUGAAAUAAGUGAAAUCUUCCAAGUGAUUUAAAAAAUUUUUAAGCCCGUGUUUCUACCUACUAAAAUUCAAAAAUAUUUACUAUAGAAGACGACUAGUCUUCUCUAUGACAGUUAUUUUAAUUUAAAAGGAAUUAAAAGGAUAUAACUUUUCUUGAAACAUUUGCACUUAAUCAUGCUGUCAAUUCAUUAUAUGAUUUCGGAUUACUUGCUUAAUGUUUCUAUUUCUUCUUCUCCGUUAAUACUAAUUACUCCUAAUAAUU